UGAGGAAUAUUGGUCAAUGGGCGGGAGCCUGAACCAGCCAAGCCGCGUGAGGGAAGAAGGCCCUAUGGGUCGUAAACCUCUUUUGUCAGGGAACAAAAGCGAGUAUGUAUACUAGUCUGAGUGUACCUGAAGAAAAAGCAUCGGCUAACUCCGUGCCAGCAGCCGCGGUAAUACGGAGGAUGCGAGCGUUAUCCGGAUUUAUUGGGUUUAAAGGGUGCGUAGGCGGCGAUGCAAGUCAGCGGUAAAAGCCCGGGGCUCAACCCCGGCGAGCCGUUGAAACUGCAGUGCUAGAGAAGGCGAGAGGUACGCGGAAUGCGCAGUGUAGCGGUGAAAUGCUUAGAUAUUGCGCAGAACUCCGAUUGCGAAGGCAGCGUACUGGCGCCUGACUGACGCUGAGGCACGAAAGCGUGGGUAUCGAACAGGAUUAGAUACCC
rnacentral:rRNA from 1 species